rnacentral:rRNA from 1 species
AGCGAACGCUGGCGGCAUGCCUAACACAUGCAAGUCGAACGGGGCAGCAAUGCCUAGCGGCGGACAGGUGAGGAAUACGUAGGAAUCUGCCCUUAAGUGCGGGAUAACCGGGGGAAACCCUGCCUAAUACCGCAUGAUCUCUUAGGCGCAAUGAGGGGGACCGCUAGGUAUCUCGCUUCUGGCUGCGCCUACGUCUGCUUAGCUAGUUGGUGGGGUAAAGGCCUACCAAGGCGACGAUCAGUAACUGGUCUGAGAGGAUGAUCAGUCACACCGGAACUGGGAAACGGUCCGGACUCCUACGGGAGGAAUCAGUGGGAAAUUUUGGACAAUGGGCGCAAGCCUGAUCCAGCAAUGCCGCGUGUGUGAAGAAGGCCUUCGGGUUUUAAAGCACUUUAGCCUGGAAAGAAAAAACUUUGGUUAACACCCAAAGUCUUGACGGUACCAGGAGAAUAAGCACCGGCUAACUCUGUGCCAGCCGCCGCGGUAACAC